rnacentral:rRNA from 1 species
UUAAGCUACAAAGAGCGUAGGGUGGAUGCCUUGGCACUAGGCGCCGAAGAAGGACGUGACAAGCUGCGAUAAGCUGCGGGGAGGUGCAAAUGACCUUAGAUCCGCAGAUUUCCGAAUGGGGAAACCCAGUACGGGUAAUGCCGUACUAUCCAUACAUGAACACAUAGUGUAUGGAGGGGAACCCGGGGAACUGAAACAUCUUAGUACCCGGAGGAAGAGAAAGAAAGAAAUCGAUUUCCUGAGUAGUGGUGAGCGAAAGGGAAAGAGCCCAAACCGCGGUAUAGCGAUAUACUGCGGGGUAUGGACCCCGAUGUGGCACGAAGUUCUGUAGCAGAAGACAGCUGGAAAGCUGCCCCAGAGAGAGUAAAAGGCUCGUAGGCGAAACGGAACGGAGGCUUAGGGGAAUCCGGAGUACCACAGGACACGAGGAAUCCGGUGGGAAGGCGGGAGGACCAUCUCCCAAGGCUAAAUACGACCUAGUGACCGAUAGCGAAUUAGUACCGUGAGGGAAAGGUGAAAAGAACCCCGGGAGGGGAGUGAAAGAGAACCUGAAACCCUAUGCUUACAAGCAGACAGAGCACUACUGAAUAGUGUGAUGUCGUACUUUUUGUAGAACGGACCGGCGAGUUACGUUGCGUAGCGGGUUAAGGUAUUAAGUACCGGAGCCGAAGCGAAAGCGAGUUUGAAUAGAGCGGAAGUUGCGCGACGUAGACCCGAAACCGAUUGACCUAACCAUGUACAGGUUGAAGCAGUGGUAAGACACUGUGGAGGACCGAACCCACGCCUGUUGCAACAGUCGGGGAUGAUAUGUGGUUAGCGGAGAAAUUCCAAACGAAAUCGGAGAUAGCUGGUUCUCCCCGAAAUAGCUUUAGGGCUAGCCUCCGGGAUAAGAAUAUUGAAGGUAGAGCACUGAAUGGCCUAGGGGGUUUCACGACUUACCGAAGCUUAUCAAACUCCGAAUUUCAAUAUAUCGUUACCGGGGAGUCAGACAGUGGGAGAUAAGUUUCAUUGUCGAGAGGGAAACAGCCCAGACCCACGACUAAGGUCCCCAAGUUACAGUUAAGUGGUAAAGGAUGUGUUACUGCUAAGACAACCAGGAUGUUGGCUUAGAAGCAGCCAUUCAUUCAAAGAGUGCGUAAUAGCUCACUGGUCGAGUGGUAAUGCGCCGAAAAUGUAUCGGGGCUAAAACUGUACACCGAAGUCUGGGAACAUACGAAUGUAUGUUGGUAGGGGAGCAAUGUAUGCGGGCAGAAGCGUCAGCGGAAGCGGGCGUGGACUGCAUACAAGAGAGAAUGCCGGUAUGAGUAGCGUAAUCGGAGCGAGAAACUCCGACGUCGAAAGUCUAAGGUUUCCUGGGGAAGGUUCGUCCACCCAGGGUUAGUCGGGAACUAAGGCGAGGCCGAAAGGCGUAGCUGAUGAACAACAGGUAGAUAUUCCUGUACCGUCUUAGGACGCAUAAAUGAGGCAAUGACACAGAAGGAUAGUCCAACCGCGGCGAUGGAAGACCGCGGCCAAAGCAUGAGGCUGGUGCGUAGUGAAGUACGCGCACCUAAAGGCUGGGUGCUGAAGGGGAGUGAAAACUAGUAGCGAAGUGGAUGAAUUCACGCUGGCGAGAAAAGUUGCUAAAUAUGUCUGAGGACGCCCGUACCGCAAACCGCCACAGGUAGACGGCAAGAAAAUUGCAAGACGAACGGGAGAACCAUUGUUAAGGAACUCUGCAAAAUGACCCCGUAACUUCGGGAGAAGGGGUGCCUGCGUGAGCAGGCCGCAGUGAAGAGGCCCAAGCGACUGUUUACCAAAAACACAGGUUUCUGCUAAAGCGCAAGCUGAGGUAUAGGAGCUGACGCCUGCCCAGUGCUGGAAGGUUAAGGGGAAGUGUUAGAGCAAUCGAAGCACCGAACUUAAGCCCCAGUGAACGGCGGCCGUAACUAUAACGGUCCUAAGGUAGCGAAAUUCCUUGUCAGGUAAGUUCUGACCCGCACGAAUGGCGUAACGACUUGGGCGCUGUCUCAACAGUGGACCCGGCGAAAUUGUAGUAUACGUGAAGAUGCGUAUUACCCGCGACUGGACGGAGAGACCCCGUAGAGCUUUACUGUAGCUUGAUAUUGGGACUUGGUAAUUCAUGUACAGGAUAGGUGGGAGACAUGGAAGCAUGGGCGUCAGCUCAUGUGGAGUCACCCUUGGGAUACCACCCUUGAAUUAUUGAGUUUCUAACGGUUGGCCAUGAACUGGCAAUCGGACAGUGUCAGGUGGGCAGUUUGACUGGGGCGGUCGCCUCCCAAAAUGUAACGGAGGCGCUCAAAGGUUCCCUCAGAAUGGUUGGAAACCAUUCAAAGAGUGUAAAGGCAUAAGGGAGCUUGACUGUGAGACAGACAUGUCGAACAGGUACGAAAGUAGGACUUAGUGAUCCGGCGGUAGAGAAUGGAAUCGCCGUCGCUUAACGGAUAAAAGUUACCUCGGGGAUAACAGGCUUAUCUCCCCCAAGAGUUCA